rnacentral:rRNA from 1 species
GACGAACGCUGGCGGCGUGCUUAACACAUGCAAGUCGAACGAUGAAGCCUAGCUUGCUAGGUGGAUUAGUGGCGACGGGUGAGUAAUACGUGAGUGACCUACCUUUGACUCUGGGAUAAGCCUGGGAAACUGGGUCUAAUACCGGAUACGACCAAUCUCCGCAUGGGGUGUUGGUGGAAAGCGUUAUGGAGUGGUUUUAGAUGGGCUCACGGCCUAUCAGCUUGUUGGUGAGGUAAUGGCUUACCAAGGCGACGACGGGUAGCCGGCCUGAGAGGGUGACCGGCCACACUGGGACUGAAGGCACGGCCCAGACUCCUACGGGAGGCAGCAGUGGGGAAUAUUGCACAAUGGGCGCAAGCCUGAUGCACGACGCCGCGUGAGGGAUGACCGGGCUUCGGGUUGUAAACCUCUGUUAGCAUCGAAGAAGCGAAAUGACGUAGGGCAGAGAAACCC